rnacentral:lncRNA from 1 species
CUUUGAGGUCAGCCCCGGGAGCUAUAGGGGUCGGAGUGGUCUCUCUAGUCAUACCAAGUAGUUAUAUGAAUUGGGUUCAUUUUCUUCUCGAUUCGAUCUUUGAUUUCGUUUGAUUGUAGGUAGAAAGCCUAUGUCAUGGCAGUCAAAUCUCUCUUUCUUGGAACAGAGCUUCAGCACAUCAAUAGCAGUCAAAUCCUCCUUUUGA